rnacentral:rRNA from 1 species
UACGGAGGGUGCAAGCGUUAAUCGGAAUAACUGGGCGUAAAGCGCACGCAGGCGGUCUGUCAAGUCGGAUGUGAAAGCCCCGGGCUCAACCUGGGAACUGCAUUUGAAACUGGCUGGCUAGAGUCUUGUAGAGGGGGGUAGAAUUCCAGGUGUAGCGGUGAAAUGCGUAGAGAUCUGGAGGAAUACCGGUGGCGAAGGCGGCCCCCUGGACAAAGACUGACGCUCAGGUGCGAAAGCGUGGGGAGCAAACAGG